UACGGGAGGCAGCAGUGGGGAAUAUUGGACAAUGGGCGAAAGCCUGAUCCAGCCAUGCCGCAUGAGUGAAGAAGGCCUUCGGGUUGUAAAGCUCUUUUAGUGAGAAAGAUAAUGACGGUACUCACAGAAGAAGUCCUGGCUAACUCCGUGCCAGCAGCCGCGGUAAUACGGAGAGGGCUAGCGUUAUUCGGAAUUAUUGGGCGUAAAGAGCGCGUAGGCUGAUUAGUAAGUUAAAAGUGAAAUCCCAAAGCUUAACUUUGGAAUUGCUUUUUAAAACUACUAGUCUAGAGAUUGAAAGAGGAUAGAGGAAUUCCUAGUGUAGAGGUGAAAUUCGUAAAUAUUAGGAGGAACACCAGUGGCGAAGGCGUCUAUCUGGUUCAAAUCUGACGCUGAGGCGCGAAGGGCGUGGGGAGCAAACAGGGAUUAGAUACC
rnacentral:rRNA from 1 species